rnacentral:misc_RNA from 1 species
GAUGAAGAACGUAGCGAAAUGCGAUACGUAAUGUGAAUUGCAGAAUUCAGUGAAUCAUCGAGUCUUUGAACGCACAUUGCGCCCCCUGGUAUUCCGGGGGGCAUGCCUGUCCGAGCGUCAUUGCUGCCCUCAAGCCCGGCUUGUGUGUUGGGUCUCGUCCCCCUGCCCGGGGGGACGGGCCCGAAAGGCAGCGGCGGCACCGCGUCCGGUCCUCGAGCGUAUGGGGCUUUGUCACCCGCUCUGUAGGCCCGGCCGGCGCUUGCCGAUCAACCAAAACUUUUUUCCAGGUUGACCUCGGAUCAGGUAGGGAUACCCGCUGAACUUAAGCAUAUCAAUAAGCGGAGGA